rnacentral:misc_RNA from 1 species
UACGGAGGGUGCAAGCGUUGUUCGGAAUUACUGGGCGUAAAGAGCACGUAGGCGGGUUCGUCAGCCAAUUGUGAAAGCCCAAGGCUCAACCUUGGAAUUGCAGUUGGAACUGCGAAUCUUGAAUACCUGAGAGGAUGAGGGAAUUCCUGGUGUAGAAGUGAAAUUCGUAGAUAUCAGGAGGAACACCCGAGGCGAAGGCGCUCGUCUGGCAGUGUAUUGACGCUGAGGUGCGAAAGCGUGGGGAGCAAACAGG